rnacentral:rRNA from 1 species
GACGAACGCUGGCGGCGUGCUUAACACAUGCAAGUCGAACGGAAAGGCCUCUUUCGGGGGGUACUCGAGUGGCGAACGGGUGAGUAACACGUGAGUAACCUGCCCUUGACUUUGGGAUAACUUCAGGAAACUGGGGCUAAUACCGGAUAGGAGCUCCUGCUGCAUGGUGGGGGGUGGAAAGUUUCGGCGGUUGGGGAUGGACUCGCGGCUUAUCAGCUUGUUGGUGGGGUAGUGGCUUACCAAGGCUUUGACGGGUAGCCGGCCUGGGAGGGGGACCGGCCACAUUGGGACUGAGAUACGGCCCAGACUCCUACGGGGGGCAGCAGUGGGGAAUAUUGCACAAUGGGUGGAAGCCUGAUGCAGCAACGCCGUGUGCGGGAUGACGGCCUUCGGGUUGUAAACCGCUUUCGCUCAUGACGAAGCUUUGUGUGACGGUAGUGGGUAAAGAAGCACCGGCUAACUACGUG